rnacentral:sRNA from 1 species
UUGCUCAAAAACAUUACCUUAAAUCAAAACAUUAAAAACACGAGAGAAGCAAUUUUAUACGUUCUACACAAAAUAAAUAAGUUGAUAAAAAAAAAAAAACACUAAUCACAGUACACGAACAAACCUACAUGCAUCCAAAACUUCAGAAACAAAAAUUAAAAUUUAUCUACCAGGGUCAGAUCUGGUCAACGACCUUAACCUAACGAAAAACUUGACCUUUUUAUCCCAAUUGUUAUUACCCCCAUUUUGUUCCUUCCUCUUCUUUCCGCUCAAAGCAUCCCAAUUCUCCGGCGACCCCAUCAGCAGCACGCUCUCCGGCGACCUCACUCCAACCGUCGUGUCCUCGUUCUCCGCCUGGUCAGCUACGGCAGCAGCGGCCAGCAUCCGUCCCUGCAUGGCCGCCAGCACUUCCCUCAUCGCCACGUCAGCAUCUCCUCUGUUCCGCAGCAAAAUCUCUCCCACGUGUGCGGGCGUGAGAGACCCACCCGAGCGAAUGCAACCCUCAACCGCCUCGAACAGCACGUGGGAAUCUACGCCGAGGUAGUUUCGCGCGAGCUCGCGGAACGCGUGAACCCCACACGUGUUGAGGCUGACGUGGACGUCCAUGCGGCCACACCGCACGAGCGCGGGGUCCACACUAUCCCUAUGGUUUGUUGUGAACACCACAAUCCUCUCGUCACCGCAGCAAGACCAUAACCCGUCGGUGAAAUUCAAAAGCCCCGAAAGCGUCACGCGCCCACUCUCCUCGCAGCGCGUGAACGACGCCGUCUGAGACUUCUUUCUCUUCGACAAUUUCGCUGCCUGAGUUUUCUUCGUUGAUCUGUCUGCCGUUAAGUCAACGGAACAGUCGAUGUCUUCGAUAACGAUAAUAGAACGGUUCGUCGUUUGGAUUAGUAACGACCGUAACUCGGAGUUAUCAGAGACUUUGGUUAGCUCCAAGUCGUAAACGUCGUAACACAGAAAAUUUGCCAUAGCGGCUAUUAAACUUGAUUUACCCGACCCGGGUGGGCCAUGGAGUAAAUACCCACGUUUCCAGGCCCGGCCCACUCGAUUGUAAAACUCUUUGCCGUCAGCGAAAGCCGUUAAGUCGUUUUUUAUUUGUCUUUUCAGUUCGGGCUCGAGGGCGAGGGUCUCGAAGGUGGACGGGUGACGGAAGGGGACGGAGACCCAACCCGAUUCGAAGGAGCCCGACCCGGUGGUAUUGUUGGUGAAGAGUCUACGCUCUCGCGAGACGCGCUCGAACUCCUCGGCGCGUGCGGUGACGUGGGAUAUAUAGGCAGAGAGGAGCGAGUGGCGGUGGCGCUUCGGGAGGCGGAGUGUGAAGCUGCGCUUCUCCUCAAGUGAGUCCUGCGCGGUCUCAACGUGGUGCGUCCAUGUGACGCGUUGGCCGCGGAAGGCGUCGUGGACGGUGUGAUUCGGGGCGACGGCGAAGGAGAUGCGGUUCGAGGAAGGCGAGCGGGAGAGCGUUAGUCGGCGGCACGCGGCGCCGGGGGCGUGGUUUGCGGCAUUGAGGUAGAGGUGCACGUGGCGGUAGAGGUCGUUGAGGUCGACGCCGCAGUAGCCGUUGAACUCUGGAAUCUCGAAAUAGGAAUAUGGAGAAAGCAGAUCUUGCAGAGAUUCGUAUAAGGAAUGGAGCAAUGAGAGAAGCUGGGAUGGGAGAACGUUUUGGAGCACGGUUCAAGGUUGCAUUGAACUUUAGGUAUAUUCGUUAAAAUUCAAUCAAUUUUUACAAACAUCUUGGUCUUUAAGUUGGUCUUUAAGUUGCACCUGAUUCCCAUAAUUCUACAUGCACACGCGCCAGCUAGCUUUAGUAAAGGUCUUAAAGAGAUAAUUCUCAAGCAGCAAUGAAUCACGGCGGGCGCAUGCAGACACUCGGGGUUUGUUACGGAACAGUAUGGAGUGGAUCUCGUUGAGUUGAAGCUGCUUUUGUUUCUUUCUUGACAAAUCACACUUUAUCUUUUUCCUAUAGUUCUAGUUAUUUGUGCCUUCAGAGGUCAGAAUGUUCUGAUGAAUUAUUAUAACUCAUCAAUCAUUCAUGAUGAGUGUCAUGUUGGAGAUGAUUAUAAGGGGAUGAUGACUGUAUUGUAGUGAUGAUUGUCAUGUUUUAUUGCACCGUAACUGUUCAAAUUGAUCAAAUUGGUAGAACGAACCCACUGGAUAAAUUUAUAUUAACUAUAUCUUUUUGCAUGGACCCUUUAGAUAAUAUUUUAUUCAUAAUAUCCUCUUCAGGUUUUUCUUAUUUUUCACCUUUCUACUUAUAUGCUGUGUAGAACAUUAAAGGCCAUGACGUUGUUAGAUUUCAAUCCACAGUUGCACAAAUAUAAAAGUAUGUAAUUAGAUUGUUACUGAAAAUGUCGAUUUGUAACUUGGUUUGCUUAUUUGGUUGGGCAAUUCUAUGUAUAUGCUUUGAACUUUUCAUGACAUUAUUUUAGGCUUUUAUUGUUGAGGUGGUGACGGGGUCUAUGAGAUUGAUAUGUAUAGAUCUUUAAAGUAAUGCAGAUGGUGGUAUUCUUUCUUGUGCAUUACAUUUCUUUUAUAUCUUUUACAUGCUUAUAUGCUUUUGAAACAAAGUUUCAUUUAUGCUUCUUUACAGAAAUUUGUCUAAAUCUCCUUUACUAAAGCAACGCUAUUGGCACCAUCAGAUUAUGAUCCUGUGGUGUUUGGCUGUCGUUCUUAUCUAAUCUUUGUUGCCUCUUCAAUGGUUUUAGGUAUCUACUUAUAAAAUGGUUGAAAUUUUGAGAAAGGAAACAUGGAAAGAGAAAAUAAAAGGAGGAGGAAAAGAAAAAGAGGCAUGUGUAUGGUGGCAUUAAAAGCCACGAAUAUGGAGAUGGGCAAAAAUUUCAGUGUAGGUCAGCCUUGAGAGAAAGCCCUGCAUAAAUGGGGGUAUCAAGAAUAAAGUCACAAAGAGGUUCUCCCUGGAAUGUCAAUGAUCAAAUGGAUCAUAUUCCAUCAAUGCACGAGAGGCAUAGCAAUUUCAAUUCAUCAAGAUACUAGUUCAAACUGCUAAGUAGAGCAGUGUUAUGACUAUCAUUCUUACCAAAAAUACAAAAUCAAGUUUCUGGAUGAAUUUCUAUAUUGGUGUAAAAAUGAAUAGAUAAAUCAACUUGUAAAUCUCACCUUUUAUAGAAGUGAAGUUAAGAGGUCUUGUUUAGAAGUUAAAGACAACAGUUAAUUUUUACUUAAGUGAGAAGUUCAGAAACCGACUAUUGGGAUAUCAGAAUAAAGUGGAAAGUGCAGGGAAUGUCAAAUAAUGAAGUGGAUCAUAUUCCAUUUAUGUAUGACACUUCUUCUACAAGAAGGAUUCUUCCAGAAAAUGAUUCAGAACUGUGUAGAGACCAGUAGUGUUGUUUUGCCGUUAAUUAUGGAA